rnacentral:misc_RNA from 1 species
ACUUGAAUUAAUCCUGAAAUCUCCUGUGGUAAUUGUGUUUUUUCUACAAUCUUUUUAAUCAGCAUGACAGAGCCUCAACCAAACUACUCAGCCUUUCGGGAAGCAAGCUUUGGGCAUGGGAUUCUUAAAAUAAAGAACAUGACUCAUGCCCAUUGGAGUUGGUAUCGAAAUCAAGAAGUCAAUUCUGUGACUGCUGAUUCUGCAUGGUUGUUCAAUCGAUAUCACAUAUCAUCAAAAGAAUCAUCUGUAGUUGCAUCAUGAAACAAGAAAGCCAGUAGCUAGCUAGCUCUUGGUCUGCCAUGCAGAAAUAAUUAACGAUCUAAGCAUCAAAUAAACUGCAGUAAUCAAUGUUUCACCAUUGUUGUGCUGAAUAAUUUGCUUGUAAUAUUUGCUAAUCUUCUCCUCACACAAUAUAUAUAUAUAUAUUUGCUUAUCUUGUGAGGCAUUUAAUUAUAAAUAAAGAUUUGUGAGUGGUUUAUGACAUGAUUUUAUUUAUAAAACGGAAUGAAUUUGGG